AGGUAGUGCAAGUAACCGAUCCAGUACCCGGAGUACACUGAGCAUGAGCAGUGGCAUGGAAGGAGAUAAUGAGGAUAAUGAGGUUUCAGAACAUCCUCCACCAUACAAACCUAGGCAUUCCCUGCCAGAAGAAACACCUCCACCAAGACCACCCAGGAUACAAACCAGAAGCACGAGAAGAUCUCAAAGAACCUCUGGCUACAGUAAUGCCCCACCAGUGCCACCUAGAGGCCGAAAUGAGAAGUAGAGAUGACAGAGAGAAGAAUAUAUAUUUUUCUAA